rnacentral:tRNA from 1 species
CAAAUUAAAGCUUUAUAUAAAGCAUUUUACUUACAUUAAAAAGAUUAUUGGUAUCCAAUAUAAUUUGA